rnacentral:lncRNA from 1 species
CCCCACCUCUUUGUUUGUUGCCCCCGGUACUCUUUGUUUAACGAAGACUUUGAAGAAAAUCACCAAAUCACCGUAUCAGUACGACAAGAAGAGUACUGAGGACAUCUUGGAAACAACAGGAUGGGUACUGACUGACACCAGAUAACAAACAGAACACCUUGGAUAAGAUUGUGAACCUGGAGUACCCAGCCAAUAGGGUAACAGGGGAGGGGGAUAAGCAAGGGAGGAAACAAGGUACAAAAGCUGUCACAGAGACCUUAGGGGUGCUCCUGCUUGUGGGACGCCCGCCAUUGCAAUAGCGAAUAAAAUCUGCUUUUAUAAGAGAUACCGACCUGACAAAAUUAUUUGGAUAUUUCCAACAAUCGGGGGGCUCGUCUGGGAUUAUUAUCGCCUCCUUGGGGCUCCCCCUACUGCUCUGGACAGGAUAGGUGCAUCCCGCUGAUUUUUGCGGUCCUAUCUGGGUGGUGAGGUGACUCCUUGAAAUAGCCGAUAGGAAACCGAGACUGUUACGUAAAGGACGGGCUCUGUGAAAGCCAAGGGGCAGGUAGGCAAAAGUGUUGACCCAUGCAGACCCGGUAACUUCGCGUACGGACUAAGAAUUGGCAUAUGCCGGUUAAUGGAUGCAAGAAGUAAAACAGUUCCUCACAAGAAGGAGUCGAAGUUCAAAAGAAAAAGAAAGAAGCAGAAAGAUCGUAAAUGCGAUCCCGCAGAAACCAGGGGUGAAGAAUGACUCUUCUCAGCAGCUUCACAAUCUGGACUCACAGUCUUCUGUUUCAUUCCUGAGAAGCGCUUGCUGGUUAUUCCCUACAAUUAAAAAGUAACACGAGUUUGCCCGAGAAGAAAAGGAGCACCACAGUCCUCUGCCUGAACCUUGGAAAUACUGCACAGGACAGAACUAACUUCAGC